UUUAAUAAUUAAUAUCUAAGAUUUUUUCUUAAACAAUAAUAAAUAAUUUAAAUAUCUAGAUUAUUUUAAUUGUAAUAGAUGCAUAUAAAUACAAAAGGGAAUUAAACAUUCUUACUAAAAAAGAAAAAGAUUGCAGAAACUAUCUCUCUCUUCUCUCGCUCGCUCACCUCCAUCUUCUCUGCGUUCACCACUUUUCUUUCAUCCCUCUCUUCGUCUUCAAAUCCCAACAGCAUACUAAGUGCUAGGAGCGGCGCAUCCAAGGCUCGAGGAGGACAACCGAAGCAAGCUUGAAGAGGUUUGAAUUCAAUCACUUAAGGUGGGGUUUACUUUUAUCUGUAAGCGUAGUUGUUACAUGGUUAUAAUCAUUGUUGUGUUGUGCGUCAUUCAUAUGAACUAAUAGGACCCACAAGGGGUCGGAUCCACAAGGGAUCAAAGAGCUGAACGGCCCACAAGGGGUCAGGUCCACAAGGGACCGAGACUAGUCUCACAAGAUGUCAGCUAAGUGAAAAAUUAUAAGAGUUCAACAUGUUAUGAUUCAUUACACAAUUGGUUAUAACUGCUUGCAGUGUUUACCCCACUGAGUGUGCUUGCACACUCAUACCCUAUUAUUUAUGAUUCUUUUCAGGUUAAGGAGUUGACGGCAAGACGGCAGACAUGGAGCUCCACAUUCUCCCGUUCUAUUAUAUGAUGAAGUAUUAUAUGUUGCUGUUUUUGGUAAAUAUAUCUUGCUACUAUCCAACUUAGCCUCUUCCAAUUUUGGUGGGUCGAGACUUUAUAUAUAUUGGUUUAUGAUCAUGCAUUUUGAUGACGGCUGUGACCGAAUAUAUAUAUUUUGUUUACCGUAUGUGUAGUUACGAGCUGUGCCUCGAACACGUUAAUUAUACUUUUAAACUUGAUGGUUUUGUAUGUACUCCAUCUUUUUAUAUAUAUAAAUAUGAUGCUUAGAUAAAGUUA